UCUCAAAGUGUUUUCCUGAGGCACUUCUGUGAGCUCAAACUGUGCUGCACUUACAGGACAAUUUGGGUCUGAAGCUCACUUGAGAGUUCAUCAGCAAGGCAUUUCAGAUUAGUCAUCAGAAAUUGAACACAAAUCCUGAGGAUUUGUCAGCAAUAUCUAAUGGAGACUGCAUUUCUUCCUUAGCCCUUCACUCAUGCUG